AUUGUAUCCACGAUUGGGGAAUUUUCCGCAAUGGGCGAAAGCCUGACGGAGCAAUACCGCGUGAGGGAGGAAGGCCUGUGGGUUGUAAACUCCUUUUCUCAGGGAAGAAGAUCUGACGGUACCUGAGGAAUAAGCUCCGGCUAACUAUGUGCCAGCAGCCGCGGUAAUACAUAGGGAGCAAGCGUUAUCCGGAAUGAUUGGGCGUAAAGCGUCUGUAGGUGGUUCAAAAAGUCUACUGUCAAAUACGUUGGCUCAACCAACGGCAGGCAUUAGAGUACUAUUGAACUAGAGUAUGGUAGAGGUAGAGGGAAUCCCUAGCGUAACAGUGAAAUGUGUAGAUUUUAGGGAGAACACCAGCGGCGAAGGCGCUCUACUGGGCCAUUACUGACACUGAGAGACGAAAGCUAAGGGAGCGAAAGGGAUUAGAUACCCCUGUAGUCAAUCGUGGAUACAAU
rnacentral:rRNA from 1 species